GCCCUUAUAGCUUAGGGGUAGAGCGUUGCACUUGUAUUAACGUGCGAGGCAUGCAAAGGUCGGCGGUUCAAAUCCGCCUGGGGGCA
rnacentral:tRNA from 1 species